rnacentral:rRNA from 1 species
UACGUAGGGGGCAAGCGUUAUCCGGAAUCACUGGGUGUAAAGGGAGCGCAGACGGCUGAGCAAGCCUGAAGUGAAAGGCGGGGGCCCAACCCCCGGACUGCUUUGGGAACUGUACGGCUGGAGUGCAGGAGAGGUAAGUGGAAUUCCUAGUGUAGCGGUGAAAUGCGUAGAUAUUAGGAGGAACACCAGUGGCGAAGGCGGCUUACUGGACUGCAACUGACGUUGAGGCUCGAAAGCGUGGGGAGCAAACAGG